GAUGAACGUUAGCGGCAGGCUUAAUACAUGCAAGUCGAGGGGCAGCAGUUUUGUAGCAAUACAGAAGAGGGCGACCGGCAAACGGGUGCGUAACACGUACGCAACCUUCCUCUAACUGGAAGAUAGCCCACCGCAAGGUGGAUUAAUAUUCCAUAGUAUAUUGUAAAGGCAUCUUUAUGAUAUUAAAGCUCCCGCGGUUAGAGAUGGGCCUGCGUCGGAUUAGGUAGUUGGCGGGGUAACGGCCCACCAAGCCUACGAUCAUUAGCUGCUGUGAGAGCAUGAUCAGCCACACGGGCACUGAGACACGGGCCCGACACCUACGGGAGGCAGCAGUAAGGAAUAUUGGUCAAUGGACGCAAGUCUGAACCAGCCAUGCCUCGUGGAGGAUGAAGGCCCUCUGGGUUGUAACUUCUUUUCUUUGGGACGAAACCCCUGUUUCUACGGUGACUGACGGUACCAGAGGAAUAAGCACCGGCUAACCCCGUGCCAGCAGCCGCAGUAACAC
rnacentral:rRNA from 1 species